GAGGGAUGCAGGACAAGGAAAUGUUAUACGACUAUAAAACAGGGACUGCUGCACAAGACGGAGAAAAGACGGAUGAAACUGUAGUAACCUGGCAUAUAAGUUUUGGAUGUUCUGUUUUGUCUAGAUACGAGGACAUAUUUGGUCGGGGCAAAGCAUGCAGAAGAGACUGUUGCAGCUAAGAGAGGGCAUGGCCAGUUAAGGUGGGCACAAAUCAAGAUUACAAACCAUACACUAAUUCAAUUG
rnacentral:lncRNA from 1 species